AGUUCCUAAGUCCUUGGGAAGCCGGUGGGAGGGAAGCAACCUCUAACCGCCAGCCACAGAGCUCUGUGCACAGCCUUUACCUUGAAGUGGAGCACCAGCCGCUUGAACGUCCUCUGUGUCCUCAUGGGAGAAGAGCAGCGUGCAGCUGCUGCCCUCCUGACACACAGCCUCAGCCACAGGCUGUCCGUUGAUCUCUUUAGAAAGAAGGAAGCAGAGUGGAACCGUAAAUAUCUGCUCUCAUCAGGAAGAUGUUAUCUUCAGGGGGCACUUCUUCCCAGAAGACAUCAGUGUUUUCCACAUGUGUAGAAUGUUGGUUUCCAAGCCCUCUGGACCUGAACAGGAUGUACCAGAUGAGCCAGCUACUGAACAUAGCACUGUUUGGUGAAGUCCACCCAGACAGACUACCCACCCCUGGGAUACCAGCGGGGGUCCGGCACGGGAAGCAGCUCUGCUCUGGAGGCACUUCUGCAAGCAAAGAACCAUGAGAGCUUUCCAUCUUACACCACAGUGUGGCUGGCUGACAUUAGGGCUGUGAGGUGGCAGCUCGCAAAGGAAGUAAAAAGCCAUGACAUACCCAUGCCAUCUGCUAGAGCUUCCGUCCGGGGAGCCGGCUGGGAUUCUGCAUCCCAUUCAUCUCCACUCGCAUCUGUAAACAAACGGGACAGAGCAGCUCGUGUCAGACACGUCCAUAUCCAUCUCCAGAUGGGAACAAUGAGGGAUCGCUCCACGGCACCCUUCUCUCCCUUCCACACAGCAGCGUCUCACCCAUAGAUGCCGGGUGCCUGCAGUGGCACCGGGCUGAUACACAGCAAUCCGUGUGUGGAACUGUCUGGAGACGGGAGGGGAAGAGAACUGAAAGGAGAUGGAG
rnacentral:lncRNA from 1 species